UUUUAGGUGGCCGAGAUCAAGCAUUAGACUUUUAAUCUAACAACGAUAAUUUAUUAUCCCUGGCUU
rnacentral:tRNA from 1 species